GUAAAAAGUCGUAAACAAGGUUUCCGUAGGUGAACNUGCGGAAGGAUCAUUAUCGUACAAAAUGUGANAGGGGCANGCGAGGGCUGUNGGUGACUCAAAGUCGUGCANNCGAGUGUGUCGCCUCACAUUGUAAUCCAUCUCACCCUNUGNGCAUCNCCGCGUGGGCACCCCUUUGGGAUCAUCUCGGAGGGGGCUCGCGUUUUCACACAAAACCCCCCUUUUAAAAGUGUAGAAUGACCUCAUUUAUGCGCUAACCCGCAAUCAAUACAACUUUCAACAACGGAUCUCUUGGCUCUCGCAUCGAUGAAGAACGCAGCGAAAUGCGAUACGUAAUGUGAAUUGCAGAAUUCAGUGAAUCAUCGAAUCUUUGAACGCACCUUGCGCCCCCUGGUAUUCCGAGGGGCACACCCGUUUGAGUGUCGUGAAAACCUCAACCUCCUUGGUUUCUUCUGGAGACCAAAGCAGGCUUGGACUUUGGAGGCCUUUGCUGGCACCUCUCGCCAGCUCCUCUUAAAUGAAUUAGCAGGGUCCUCUUUGCUGAUCCUCGACGUGUGAUAAGAUGUUUCCAUGUCUUGGUUUCUGGCUCUGUCACCUUUGGGACCCGCUUCUAACCGUCUUCAACCUUGCGUUGAGACAACGUUCGAGCAUGNCUCCCUUCUCGGGNAAGCUNCCCUCNACCCCNCGAACCCAUNANCUCAAAUCGGGUGANNCUACCCGCUGAACUUAAGC
rnacentral:rRNA from 1 species